rnacentral:tRNA from 2 species
AGGAGUGUAGCUCAAUUGGUAGAGCACCGGUCUCCAAAACCGGGGGUUGCAGGUUCAAGUCCUGUCACUCCUGC